rnacentral:rRNA from 1 species
CUGGCUCAGGAUGAACGCUAGCGGCAGGCUUAACACAUGCAAGUCGAGGGGCAACGCGAGUAGCAAUACUUGGCGGCGACCGGCGCAAGGGUGCGUAACGCGUGAGCAACAUGCCCGUAUCAGGGGGAUAAUCCAGGGAAACUUGGUCUAAUACCCCAUAGUAAUUUUGUAAGGCAUCUUAUAAGAUUUAAAGCUUUGGUGGAUACGGAUUGGCUCGCGUGACACUAGCUGGAUGGUAAGGUAACGGCUUACCAUGGCUAUGAUGUCUAGGGGUUCUGAGAGGAAGGUCCCCCACACUGGAACUGAGACACGGUCCAGACUCCUACGGGAGGCAGCAGUGAGGAAUAUUGGACAAUGGAUGGAAAUCUGAUCCAGCCAUGCCGCGUGAAGGAAAAGAAGGUCCUAUGGAUUGUAAACUUCUUUUGUAUGGGAGCAAUAAGGCCUACGAGUAGGUUGAUGAGAGUACCAUACGAAUAAGCACCGGCUAACUCCGUGCCAGCAGCAGC